UACGGAGGGUGCAAGCGUUAAUCGGAAUUACUGGGCGUAAAGCGCACAUAGGCGGUUUGUUAAGCCAGCUGUGAAAUCCCCGGGCUCAACCUGGGAAUUGCAGUUGGAACUGGCAAGCUAGAGUAUGGUAGAGGGGUGUGGAAUUUCAGGUGUAGCGGUGAAAUGCGUAGAUAUCUGAAGGAACAUCAGUGGCGAAGGCGACACCCUGGAUCAAUACUGACGCUGAGGUGCGAAAGCGUGGGGAGCAAAC
rnacentral:rRNA from 1 species